GAGUAGCCAGGCCUGGGGGAGCAGCUCAUCCAUGCCUUCAUUCUCAACAUUGCUACUUAUUUCCUGGGGAGAUGGCCUGGCCUCCAGCGAAUCACCAAGGAGUUCAGGACUGAGAUAAUCGAGGAUGUUGGUGAAGGCUGUGACAAAAGGCAAGUGACUUUUGUACAGAUCCCAGCAAUGCCACCAAACCCAUGGGGCUAUGGCUGCUCGCUGCAUGAAGUCCAGAGCCAACUGAGGAUUCCUCUGUUGACAAAUGCAUAGCAAGAGUACAGUAUAUGAAAGCACGCUCACUGAGCUGUGGAGAGGUGUGGAACUUGGUAGAGGAGGAAGAUGGCGAUCCAUUGAGGCAGCUAUCCUGUGGACUACAGUAAACCAAGUACUGCCUUCAGAGACUCAGGGGACACCUGGGACCACUUGGUCUCCAAAAAAUACAGCGACAUCGAGGAGUUUUACCAGAAACUGUACAAUCGUUACCCAGCAGCCAGCCUGCCCCCACUCCCCAGGAAGGUCCUGUUUGUCGGGGAGUCUGACAUCCGGGAAAGGAGAGCCAUGUUUGAUGAGAUUCUGCGCUGUGUCUCGAAGGAUGCCCAGUUGGCAGGCAGCCCAGAGCUGCUAGAAUUCUUAGCUCCAGCAGGAUGGUUUCCGCUCACCCCCAGCGCUUGCCCCCAGC